rnacentral:rRNA from 1 species
CCUACGGGUGGCAGCAGUGAGGAAUAUUGCUCAAUGGCCGAAAGGCUGAACCAGCCAAGUCGCGUGAGGGAUGACGGCCCUACGGGUUGUAAACCUCUUUUGUCGGGGAGCAAAGAGUGUCACGUGUGGCUCAUUGAGAGUACCCUAAGAAAAAGCAUCGGCUAACUCCGUGCCAGCAGCCGCGGUAAUACGGAGGAUGCGAUCGUUAUCCGGAUUUAUUUGGUUUAAAGUGUGCGCAGGAGGAGGUGCAAGUCAGUGCUAAAAUUGCGUGGCUCAACCCCGUACUGCCGUUGAAACUGCAUCCCUUGAGGGCGCGAGAAGUAUGCGGAAUGCGUGGUGUAGCGGUGAACUGCAGAGAUAACACGCAGAACUCCGAUUGCGAAGGCAGCAUACCGGCGCGCAACUGACGCUCAUGCACGAAAGCGUGGGUAUCGAACAGGAUUAGAUACCCGAGUAGUC